CUCUCCUUGUCUCCUUUCAGGAAUGAACAUAAAAUGGGUGAAAGGGACACAUAUCUGAUGUUCCCCCAUCUAAUCUCAAAUCCACUCUGGCUUUUGUUAUAUGAGCAUCUCAUCCAUCUGAGUUUUGGAAGAGCCACAUCUACGAAGGCACUGACAACUUGAAGAGAGGAGUUUUCCAGUCCAAGGGGACGCCGGCAAGGCUAUAAGGACAAUCAUUCUUCAGAGCAGAGGACAACCAUGCAAAAUCAUUAAAGUGAUAUGCUUGUGAGGAAAUCUGGAAGGAAAGAGAACAUUUUCAUUGUACUCAGCCAAACAAGACAAAAUAUCGCCUGCAUGCCUCCAAAUUGAUCAAUCAAUCAUCAGUCAAGAGAGGUGCCUGCCACGCAUUCCCUCUCUACUGCACAAAUGCUUCCACCAUCACCUUGGUUGUGCCUUGAGUGUACCCCCCCUCUGGAGGAAGCUCUUCAUCUUUCCCAUGCCUCACAUAUCAGAAUCCAGGGUUUUUAUGGUUUGAAUGACUUAACAUUUUGUUGACAUUCUUCUUCUCUCCACAUAAAGACACAUGUUUUGUGAAAGAGAAAUUUUACACUAAACACUUGUUAGAAACAGCAAGAAAGACUUUAUUCAGGUCUAUUGCAAUAUGGGAAAGACUAUUGCAAUAGGAGAGAGAAGUUGAAUUCGACUCUAGGUACAGCAAAGACAACUGGGGAUGUACAGCCAAAGUGCAGAACAGAGUGAGGGGCUCAGUGGAAGAAAAUUAAUUAGAUAUCAAGGGUAGAGCCAUUCUUGUUAAAAUGGAUUUUUGCUAAAGUCAGGCCAAGGUCAGAUAUCAAGGGUGAGGGAAUUCUAGAUAAAUUGGCUCACCAAAGCUUGUUGCUAAAACUGGACUUGAAAAGAAGGCCCAGAGUGGCCUGUCUAAACUUUGGUCAAGGAGGGAGUCUUUCUCCGAUUCAGGGUUUUCUGGUCUAAGUGGCUACAGUGCUGGAGACCUUAUUAAGACACAUGCAUUCUAGAAGACUUUUCAUAAACCCUACUAAGAUUCAUGAGCCUUCUAGGCUCCAAAUUUAUAUCAUCCAAAUUAAAAUUGUAUUACUUGCUUCUCUUAACACAAAUGCGACUUACUUUUUGUACUUUUAUCACAAAGAGGAAAUAAAAUGUCUAGUGCAACUCUUCCUGUGAUGACUAAAAUAUUAAAAUAUGUUGUAAACA